rnacentral:rRNA from 1 species
CUACGGGAGGCAGCAGUGGGGAAUAUUGGACAAUGGGGGGAACCCUGAUCCAGCAAUGCCGCGUGUGUGAAGAAGGUCUUCGGAUUGUAAAGCACUUUCACUAGGGAAGAUGAUGACGGUACCUAGAGAAGAAGCCCCGGCUAACUUCGUGCCAGCAGCCGCGGUAAUACGAAGGGGGCUAGCGUUGCUCGGAAUGACUGGGCGUAAAGGGCGCGUAGGCUGUUUGUACAGUCAGAUGUGAAAUCCCCGGGCUUAACCUGGGAACUGCAUUUGAUACGUGCAGACUAGAGUCCGAGAGAGGGUUGUGGAAUUCCCAGUGUAGAGGUGAAAUUCGUAGAUAUUGGGAAGAACACCGGUUGCGAAGGCGGCAACCUGGCUCGGAACUGACGCUGAGGCGCGAAAGCGUGGGGAGCGAACAGGAUUAGAUACCCUGGUAGUCCACGCUGUAAACGAUGUGUGCUGGAUGUUGGGUGAUUUUAUCAUUCAGUGUCGGAGCUAACGCGUUAAGCACACCGCCUGGGGAGUACGGCCGCAAGGUUGAAACUCAAAGGAAUUGACGGGGGNCCGCACAAGCGGUG